AGAGUUUGAUCCUGGCUCAGGAUGAACGCUGGCGGCGUGCUUAACACAUGCAAGUCGAACGAUUAAAGCUCUCUUCGGAGAGUGUAUAGAGUGGCGAACGGGUGAGUAACACGUGGGCAACCUGCCCCUCACACUGGGAUAACUCCGGGAAACCGGGGCUAAUACCGGAUACUCCGCUGAGAUCGCAUGGUCUUGGUGGGAAAGCUCCGGCGGUGAGGGAUGGGCCCGCGGCCCAUUAGCUUGUUGGUGAGGUAAUGGCUCACCAAGGCGACGAUGGGUAGCCGAGCUGAGAGGCUGAUCGGCCACACUGGGACUGAGACACGGCCCAGACUCCUACGGGAGGCAGCAGUGGGGAAUCUUGCGCAAUGGGCGAAAGCCUGACGCAGCAACGCCGCGUGCGGGAUGAAGGCCUUCGGGUUGUAAACCGCUUUCAGCAGGGACGAAAUUGACUGUACCUGCAGAAGAAGCUCCGGCUAACUACGUGCCAGCAGCCGCGGUAAUACGUAGGGAGCAAGCGUUAUCCGGAUUUAUUGGGCGUAAAGAGCGCGUAGGCGGAUUGUUAAGUCAGAUGUGAAAACCGGGGGCUCAACCCGCGGCCUGCAUCUGAAACUGGCAGUCUUGAGUCUGGUAGAGGAGUGUGGAAUUCCUAGUGUAGCGGUGAAAUGCGCAGAUAUUAGGAGGAACACCAGUGGCGAAGGCGGCACUCUGGGCCACGACUGACGCUGAGGCGCGAAAGCUAGGGGAGCAAACAGGAUUAGAUACCCUGGUAGUCCUAGCCGUAAACGAUGGGCACUAGGUGUGGGAGGUCAUCGACUCCUUCCGUGCCGCAGCUAACGCAUUAAGUGCCCCGCCUGGGGAGUACGGCCGCAAGGUUAAAACUCAAAGGAAUUGACGGGGGCCCGCACAAGCAGCGGAGCAUGUGGCUUAAUUCGACGCAACGCGAAGAACCUUACCAAGGCUUGACAUGCAGGGUAAAGCGGCGGAAACGUCGUGUCCGAAAGGGCCUUGCACAGGUGGUGCGUGGCUGUCGUCAGCUCGUGUCGUGAGAUGUUGGGUUAAGUCCCGCAACGAGCGCAACCCU
rnacentral:rRNA from 1 species